rnacentral:rRNA from 1 species
AUACGGAGGAUCCAAGCGUUAUCCGGAUUUAUUGGGUUUAAAGGGUGCGCAGGCGGCCUUAUAAGUCAGUGGUGAAAUCUCCCGGCUCAACCGGGAAACUGCCAUUGAUACUGUAAGGCUCGAAUACAGACGAGGUAGGCGGAAUGUAGCAUGUAGCGGUGAAAUGCUUAGAUAUGCUACAGAACACCAAUCGCGAAGGCAGCUUACCAGACUGUAAUUGACGCUAAGGCACGAAAGCGUGGGGAGCGAACAGGAUUAGAAACCCCUGUAGUCC